GCUGAGGCCCCAGGGUGGGACCGCGGCCUAUCAGGUAGUAGGUGGGGUAACGGCCCACCUAGCCUACGACGGGUACGGGCCCUGAGAGGGGGAGCCCGGAGAUGGGCACUGAGACAAGGGUCUAGGCCCUAAGGGGCGCAGCAGGCGCGAAGAUUCCGCAAUGCCCGAAAGGGCGACGGAGUGAACCCGAGUGCCACCCGCUGAGGGUGGCUGUUCCCCUGUGUAAAAAGCAGGGGGCAGGAAGGGGAGGGCAAGGCUGGUGGCAGCCGCCGCGGUAAAACCAGCUCCCCGAGGGGUUCCCACGCAUACUGGGCCUAAAGCGUCCGUAGCCGGCCCUGUAAGUCUGCAGUUAAAUCCGCCUGUAGACAGGCGGGUUGCUGCAGAUACUGCAGGGCUAGGGAGCGGGAGGAGCCGGGGGUAUUCCCGGGGGAGCGGUAAAAUGCGUAGAUCCCGGGAGGACCACCAGUGGCGAAGGCGCCCGGCUUGAACGCGUCCGACGGUGAGGGACGAAAGCUGGGGGAGCAAACCGGAUUAGAUACCCGGGUAGUCCCAGCCGUAAACGAUGCCGGCUAGGUGCUGGCCAAGGUUUCGGCCUUGGCCAGUGUCGAAGCGAAGGCAUUAAGCCGGCCGCCUGAGGAGUACGGCCGCAAGGCUGAAACUUGAAGGAAUUGACGGGGGGGCACCACAAGGGGUGAAUGCCUGCGGCUUAAUUGGACUCAACGCCGGGAAUCUUACCGGGGGCGACAGCAGGAUGAAGGUCAGGCUGAAGACCUUACCAGACGCGCUGAGGGGUGGUGCAUGGCCGUCGCCAGCUCGUGCCGUGAGGUGUCCUGUUAAGUCAGGCAACGAGCGAGACCCCCGCCCCUAGUUGCCAGCGGCCUCCUUCGGGAGGGACCGGGCAAACUAGGGGGACCGCCUCCGAAGAGGAGGAGGAAGGUGGGGGAUACGGCAGGUCAGUAUGCCCCUAAUCCCCCGGGCCGCACGCGGGCUGCAAUGGGCGGGACAGCGGGAUG
rnacentral:rRNA from 1 species